AAAAAAGCGUUUGAAGAAAGCUAAAUCUUGCAAUAAUACUACAGAGAGCCAAUGUUUGGUGGAAAUUGGUGUAAAAAAGAGAUGUUCCACUUUCUGAGCUGCUUGGUGAAAGCCAAGAGGGUAAGCCCUUUAUUGCUGUUUUGAGAGGCUUAUAUAAAUAAGCAAUUUGGGUGGCAACACGGGAGAACUGCUCUCGUCCCUUUU
rnacentral:ncRNA from 1 species